AGCAGCCGCGGUAAUUCCAGCUCCAAUAGCGUAUAUUAAAGUUGUUGCAGUUAAAAAGCUCGUAGUUGAAUUUCGGGAUCAAGUCGUCGGUCGUGCUCAGGUACGUACUGGCGUCAUUGAUUUCUCCCUUCUGACGAACCAUGAUGUCAUUAAUUUGGUGUCAUGGGAAAUCAGGACUGUUACUUUGAAAAAAUUAGAGUGUUUAAAGCAGGCUCACGCUUGAAUACAUUAGCAUGGAAUAAUGAAAUAGGACGUUCGAUCCUAUUUUGUUGGUUUUUAGGAUCAACGUAAUGAUUAAUAGGGAUAGUUGGGGGCAUUAGUAUUCAAUUGUCAGAGGUGAAAUUCUUGGAUUUAUUGAAGACUAACUACUGCGAAAGCAUUUGCCAAGGAUGUUUUCAUUAAUCAAGAACGAAAGUUAGGGGAUCGAAGACGAUCAGAUACCGUCGUAGUCUUAACCAUAAACUAUGCCGACUAGGGAUCGGAUGAUGUUAAUUUUUUAAUGACUCAUUCGGCGCCUUAC
rnacentral:misc_RNA from 1 species